rnacentral:rRNA from 1 species
UACGAAGGGGGCUAGCGUUGCUCGGAAUCACUGGGCGUAAAGCGCACGUAGGCGGCUUUCUAAGUCAGGGGUGAAAUCCUGGAGCUCAACUCCAGAACUGCCUUUGAUACUGGAGAGCUCGAGUCCGGGAGAGGUGAGUGGAACUCCGAGUGUAGAGGUGAAAUUCGUAGAUAUUCGGAAGAACACCAGUGGCGAAGGCGGCUCACUGGCCCGGUACUGACGCUGAGGUGCGAAAGCGUGGGGAGCAAACAGG